AGGAUAAACGCUGGCGGCGUGCCUUAUGCAUGCAAGUCGAACGAGGUUAGAAUUUCGGUUCGAAGCCUAGUGGCGCACGGGUGAGUAACACGUACGUGACCUGUCCCAACGUGGGGGAUAACUAGCCGAAAGGUUGGCUAAUACCGCAUGUGGACACCCCUUGGAAGGGGAUGUCGAAAGCAGCAAUGCGCGAUGGGAGGGGCGUGCGGCCGAUUAGCUAGUUGGUGUGGUAACGGCGCACCAAGGCGAUGAUCGGUAGCUGGUCUGAGAGGAUGGUCAGCCACACUGGGACUGAGACACGGCCCAGACUCCGUACGGGAGCAGCAGCGAGGGUAAUUUGCGCAAGUGGGACGAAAGCCUGACGCAGCAACGCCGCG
rnacentral:rRNA from 1 species